CGCCCGGGACUCCCGUAGCCACCGGGCGGCGGCGGCCGUGACAGGAAGUUCCCCCACGGAGACGCGCGCGCCCGAACACGUGACUCCACGCCCGGCAACACGCAAUGCGCAUGCGCUAGGCGGAGCGGGUGUGGCGCCCCAACAGGGCGUACAGCACAUCGCCCUGGGUGACGUUGAGCCGCACGCGAAGGAGCAGGUCAUUAUGAGCCCCACAGGGAGGAGGCGGCAGGAGCCCAGAAUUAAAAUUUAAGACACUCAAAACAAAAGUCACUUAUCCAGUAAUUCAAGAGAGAAGCAUGAGCACCAGCUUAUAUUCUUCCCUUCCUCUAACCUCCCACAUCCAGCAGAGCACCCAGCACUGGACCUUACACCAACAGGUGCUCAGCAAAGAAUUGCCGCGUUUUGUAGGUACAGCUAGGUCUCCCGACGGUGACUUACCUUCCUGGCAACCAGCUGGAUGGCAUCAUCCUCAAAGGCCUUUAAGUGUUUGAGUCGGGACAUUAGGAUCUGCUGCAGCUGCCUGACUCCUUAGCACAGCUUCUGGAUCUGUAAGAACAACUUGAGAACGGCCCCAAAACCUACCAGUCGGCUUGACACCCGGUUCAUCA